rnacentral:rRNA from 1 species
CCUACGGGGGGCUGCAGUGGGGAAUAUUGGACAAUGGGGGCAACCCUGAUCCAGCCAUGCCGCGUGUGUGAAGAAGGCCCUCGGGUUGUAAAGCACUUUCAGUGAGGAAGAACGCCUGGUGGUUAAUACCCAUCAGGAAAGACAUCACUCACAGAAGAAGCACCGGCUAACUCCGUGCCAGCAGCCGCGGUAAUACGGAGGGUGCGAGCGUUAAUCGGAAUUACUGGGCGUAAAGCGCGCGUAGGUGGCUUGAUAAGCCGGUUGUGAAAGCCCCGGGCUCAACCUGGGAACGGCAUCCGGAACUGUCAAGCUAGAGUGCAGGAGAGGAAGGUAGAAUUCCCGGUGUAGCGGUGAAAUGCGUAGAGAUCGGGAGGAAUACCAGUGGCGAAGGCGGCCUUCUGGACUGACACUGACGCUGAGGUGCGAAAGCGUGGGUAGCAAACAGGAUUAGAUACCCCAGUAGUC